AGCUGAACCUUGAGUCACAUGUGCCCACAGACUCACUCUGCAGGCUCAUUCUUUCAGCCCCAACCUCAGGGUCCUGGAGUGUCUCCUGACAACCACAUUUCUCUCUUUUGCCACUUCCUUUUUACACAAGUAUCCCAGUCUCCAUAGCAACUCAUCUCACAUUUAGAAACAUGGACAAAAGAUGCAGAAAAAAAGGGAAAAAUAGGCAAGGACAUACACAAAUAAUACAUGUAGACAAUAAUCAAUAGAGUGUGUACACAACUGCACACACAGAGGCAGACGGCUGCAGAGGCAAACGACCGUCUCAAAAAAUAACAAACCUUUUUUUAAAUUUUGGAAAUGUUGAUUUGAGAAGAUGAAUGUUUGACUUAAUAUUAGAAUUUAAAGAGAAUUUUACUCACUUUGAGAAGACAACCUUGGUUACCUGUCGCUUCUGGUUUCCUUUCUGAUAACUGGAGUGUCAUGGUUAUCUUUUUUUUUUCUUGAAUGAAUCUGAGUUUGUUUGUCCCAUUAAUUCAUCAGUACACUUCUCUUGAGUCUUGUAUUGAGAUGAUAAAAAGUUAUCCUUGGUCUGUCACUGUCUGUGAAUAGGAGCCCUGCUGUAAACACGGUUAAAGAGAAUGCAUUCAUCAACCAUUGGUAUGACGUUCGGUGGUAUCUGAGGUGAUGAUGCCUGUGGGAAGAUCGCAUCAUGGUUUUGUUCAAUUACAGCUCUUCCUAGUGAGAAUACAGUUUUGAUGAGAAGAAAUGGAUGUCCAGAAACUAAAACCAUUUGCCAUAAUUUUCAACAGAUACUUUAUUCUAACUGGUCAAUUGGUCUUGAGUUGUGGAAGUGUGGUUUUAACUUCCCACCACUGCUAGUGUGGAAGUGUUUUCUCUGACUCUGAUACCUUCUUGCGUUUGUUAAAGCUGCUGUAAGUAAUGUUGGACUUCUAUUGAUUUUGCCGCCUCCAAUGUGUCGAGAUUAACAUCUUGUCUUGUGUGUACUGCGGUGGUAUUUUCUGAAGACAAAUCUCACACUGCUCUCUUAUCACAGUCAAAGGUGACAGUCAUUGUAAAUAUGUGCUUUUGAGAGUUUAAAGAAAGGCUGUUUCUUCAGCUUGGUGACAGUUACCUGGUUUAAUACCUCACACUACCUCGCAGGAGUUUAAAGUAUGAAAACUUGCAAUGUAAGAGCUGACAAUCUUGAUGAUGUUCUUGUUUGCUGUUUGUUUGUCAUGAGGAGGUGUCAGUAUUCAUUUCAACAUGUUUCACAUUCAGGGUAAAACUCCUCACUGGGGCUACAUUGGAGCAGAGAAAAGGGUGUGAACAUGGUUUGAAAACUCAAGUCUGGAGUCUAGCAGCCGAGUGUCUGUUUGAGCAGAGAAGAGAAAGACUGACAGAUGGACAGAGAGAGUGAGAGAAAGCUCACUUCUCUGUGGAGCAGUGGAUUGACAGAUUUACUGGGUGUGUGUCUUGUGAGGCAGUGGUCAAGGCUGUGUGAAGGGAACACCCUCAAAACCAGCUUGUUUGUUUGGUCAGGAGUGUAGGUGCAGAGGAGAGACUGAACAGAAGCUGUGUUUGAGAUGUCCAUCAUGGCAGCCCACUGUCUGCAUUUGUGUGCAGUGUUUCAGUGUUUGUUUGUGCAGCUUAUACUUUUUUCUAUAGGGUGAAAAAACUUCAUUGAGGUGGACAGUGUGUGAUCGGUGUGUGUGUGUGUGUGUGCGCGUGAGUCAUGCUGUAUAUCAUUCAGAUGUAGCGUCUCUGCAGUGUCUGAGUCACCAUGCAGCAGUGACAGAGAGAGGGCAAGUGAGCACAGAGAGAGAGAGAGAGAGAGAGAGGGAGAAGAGAUCAGAUAACAAAGGAAGCUGAUAGGAUGAAAGAAAGAUCAUGACAUUAUCUUAUGCUUUUCAUCUGACUCUUUUCUGCAGUCUUCACUUCAGUCUGUCAGAUGUGCUAUCUUUUCAUAUGAUUGAUAGCCUGUCAAACUCAAGACCCAAAAGGAAAACUCCUCGGAAAUGUCAAAACAAUACUGUCCGUUGUGCAAUGAUUGAGCGGAGGACGGUUUAACUUUUGGUUAAAUCUGUAAAAGCCAACUUAUUGAAUGAAAAUACAGUUUAAAAAAUAAAAAAAAGCUAACGAGUCUUUGCGUAAUUUGACCAUUUAUGUUCCCAAACCUCUGGGAGUUGUAGGCUCCGCUCUGUGAUGUUCAUGUUAAAUAUCUAGCUGCUCAUUUUUCCAUCAUCCCUCCAAAAGCAAAUGUCAGAGGCAGUGUCUCCUGUGUGCUUUCUCCUAUUUGUUUAUUGUCUGUCCCUUUUUUCUCUCCCACCCACUUGUCCCAAGGUGUCACCUCACGCAGGCUCAGCCCUUAAAGGCGCCGCGCAUCAAUAUUGCAUCACUGCAGUGACACAAAGCAAAAUCCAUUAGCUGAAUGCAAAUCAGGGCCAUUAAGAUCUUGUUAAAAAUUUGCUGCAGGAAGUCAAUAACAGAUAAAGUGAAUCCGGAGUUUGGAUCCAGUUUUUUUUUCCCAGUUGAGGGACUGUGUUUGUGUUCACUUGCUGAUGUAGUUGGGGGGGGAGUAAUUGCCUGCAAUUGUAAAGCAAUUUCUAACCCUAAUGGGUAAAUUGCAGGGUGUAAAGAGUGCUCUGGUGUUGUGCCAUUCUUACCAGCAAUUACAGCAAAUUGUUUAACCUGAGAUGAUAAAAGAGCUAGUUCAGAGAUAAAGAUCGUUUAACACGUGUUUUUGUCAGGGGGUGUGACUAAAACUAAACAAAUAAUGGUUGUAGGAAAUUGAUUCAUCAUGCUUAUCAUGGCAGCGAGGAGUGUCUGAGGAACAAAAAGGCAGACACUGAUAGCGCUCCUCUUGUGUUAUCCCUCUGCCGGGGACCUCUUUAUCAGAUGUGUCACAUCACCAUGUCUAAUGGAUUUAGAUGGACACGUAUGAGUGACAGCAUGAAAUCAAUAAAGCAGCAAAGGAGGAGGUUUUAUCUUUUCUGUGAAAGUGUCGUUUUCCAUCAUAAGUAGAGGAGUUCAUAAGAUAAUAUGUUGUAAGAGCUCAGUUAUCAAAGAUGGAGGUUUCCAAAUGAUUCAGUAAUUCACCAUUUAAACACGACAUACUGCGUCUACCAUGUUGGACUUGCUGUUACAUUUUGCUUAUGGUCCUAUUAGACAUGAACCCCCUCCCCCAUCUUUCACUUUUUAAUGAGAUUUGGAGUGUGCGUAUCACCCCACUGUGAAGCCAUCAGUGACAGGGAAGAGGACAAAAGCAGGCCUGAUGCUUGGGCUUUGGGAAACACCCCCACUAACCACACACACUCACACACACACACAUCUACUACCGGUUCCCAUCUGGUGAUAGGGCAUUAAGAGAGAACCCUGAAUAAGAAACUAGAGGCACACAUGCAUGCACGUUCAUGUAAUCACACACACACACACACACACAUUUUUAUCCAGGUGCCAUGGCUGAAUUAAUUGGGAAAAAUGCCUCCCUCUCUUAACUCCCCAUGCUCCUAAUGUUCUCAUCUUUUAUUUAGCAUCAACUCGCAGUGAAGUGCAAAAGAGCUUUUAUGUUUUUUUUUUUUGUCUUUCUUGAUUCAAAAUUAAAACAACUAAAUCACAACAGUAGGAAUUUUGUAAGGACAGGAAAAAGAAAGCAAGGAGUCAUUUCUUUAUGCAAAAUCAGAGUAAAACAUGCACUGAUUCAAAGGGAGGAGACUUCAUUUGUCCAUGUGUAGCUUAAAUUUGGUCAUAUUUUAAAUGUGUAGUUAACUCUAAGUAACAAUGUUUUUUAAUGGUGGAAUAAUCUGAUUGAUUCAGCAGCAUGACUUAGGUGUUUUAAGUUGUCUGCAUGAGGGAAAAACUUGUUUAUUUCCAUCUGUUUUGCAGGAAUUGCAUCACUUUGAAACUCUUCAAGUGCAAGAGGUGGAAAAAGAAAAAAAAACAGGAAGGAUUAUUUCUGGUGUCUGAUGUGAAUUGUACUCAUGCGUCUCUGCAGAUAACUCAGCUGAUCUUGCAUCACACUGCUGUGUUAAAAGUGUGUGUGUGUGUGUGUGUGUGUGUGUGUGUGUGUGUGUGUGUGUGUGUG